AGUGGCUCAUUUUUUUAUUAUUAUUAAUAGUGUUGAAUAUAAUUAACUGAAGACUCAUUUUUCCAGUUCCAUAUCAUAGCCUACAGUAUCUGAUUAAACAUAUAAGUUAGAAGUGGAAAAUAUAAUAUUAGGAUCUUAUUCUGGGAUCCUCAGUUUUUGGACCUUAAAAAUAAUUCUUUUUUAAGACUGAAGAUAUUUACACUGUACGUAUUUGGGCCCAAAAUUCCAGUGAGUGAAAUUCCAUUAAGGGAGGGGUUUCCAGCGGAGGAAAAAUGUUUUUCCUACAGGACUUUGAAAAACUAGAAAAUCUUUUAAAACACUAUAAGAAACAGAUUGUAUGGCUGCAAAGGUCACUUUGUCCUAUAGCUUGUCAUUUGGAAUUGAAGUUCUCAACUGAAAUCCAGGUAUGGAUAGGAAUUGAGCCCAGUGACCCACCAAAGGUAGCUGAAAUGGAUCCUCGCCCGAUCACAAGGCAAAUAAAGAUAUGAAAGAUGAUGAAAAGUUCAAAAGGUAAAGAAAAUAGCUGGAGCUCAUGAGCCACUACAAUGCAAAAUUUAGGAAGAAAGGAAACAAACAACAACAAAAAAAAACCUGGACAAAAUGUUUUUCAAUGUUUCUAUGGCCCAGUUUGUGACUUCUUCCACACAGCAACAUGCAAGAUAUAUAAAACGUUCUGCAAAAAGCUUGACUUUGGACCCUUGCAAUCAUGCUCAAACACUUAUCUCCUAUAACUCUGCUGUCCAGAUGGUAAAGAAACAUUUUUCAACUGGAAAGAGAAGUGCUUUACUUUUUGCAUGUAUUAUCUGUGCACACUCAGGUAGAAGCUACCUGAAAUAACAUUUCAAAGUCAUCCAUACUCUGCGGAGACUGAAGCAAUACCACCUUCUAAGUUGGCUGUGAAUUUUGGGAAAAGUCCUAACAUAUCUUGAGAAUAUUAAUUUUGGGGAGGCUGCUACUGAUCUUCAAACUCAUCAAGUCUUCAGAAUGUAGGACUGCGAAUGGAAUCACAAUUCUGUCUUAAGUUUCCUAAAACAUUCUCCAAGGUAAAAUGACUAAUUUGAUAGCUGACAAGUUCUAUUCAAAUUUAAUUAGCCCUGGAAUACCUUAAUCAAUACAUGGAGUUCCUCUUCCUAAUGUAGAAUUCAGGAAGGCCUACAGCCCCAGGAUAAAUACAUGGUUUUCAUUUAGAAGAUCUUAAGAUUCAAGUCUCUGUAUCCAAGUAUGGCAAUAAAAGACCUGUUGAAUAACCUGUCCAA